rnacentral:tRNA from 1 species
CAAAGAAUAUAUUAAUUGGUAGAUUGCCUGCUUUGGGUGCAGAGGGUGCGGGUUCAAAUCUCGCUUCUUUGA